GGGCGCAACGGUCUCUGCAAAACCUUGGGAGAGAGCCCGAGAAGAGCGGUCGUCGGUAAAGAUAUUUGUGGCAGUAACAAAUAUUCAAAUGAGAACUUUAAAGGCUGAAGAGGGGAAAGGUUCCAUGUGAACGACACUUGCACAUGGGUUAGUUGAUCCUAAGGGUCGGGGGAACCCCAACAAAUAGCGGAUUUUGCACGUUCUCUGAAAGGGAUUCAGGUUAAAAUUCUUGGACUAGAAAGUGGCGGUCGACGGCAACGUUAGACUUCUACGUGCUAUGGACGUUGGCCUGUGGGCUCCCCAUUCGAGCCGUCAUAAAAAAAGACCAAGGAAUCUGACAUGUGUGCGAGUCAACGGGCGAGUAAACCCAUAAGGUGUAAGAAAGCUGAUUGGUGGUGUCCUCCCGAGGGGUGCACGGCUGACCGACCUUGAUCUUCUGAGAAGGGUUCGAGUGUGAGCAUACCUUUCGAGACCCAAAAGAUGGUGAACUAUGCCUGAGUGGGGAGAAGCCAGAGGAAACUCUAGUGGAUACCCAUAGCGAUACUGAUAUGCAAAUCGUUCUUCUGACUUGGGUAUAGGGCCCGCGACUGCUUUAUCUGGCCUUGCCAUGGAAUCAAGAGCUCCAAGUGGGCUAUUUUUGGUAAGCAGAACUGGAGAUGCGAGAUGAACUAAAAGCCGAGUUACGAUGCUAAAUUGCACGCUAACCUAGAUCCCACAAAAGGUGUUGGUUGAUUAAGACAGCAGAACGGUAGACAUGGAAGUCCAAAUUCGCUAAGGAGUAUGUAACAACUCUCCUGCCAAAUAAACUAGCCCCGAAAAUGAAUGGCGCUUAAGUGAGCGACCUACACGCGGCCGUCGAGGAAAGUUCCAGGCCCCGAUGAGUAGGAGGGCACAGCGGUUGCUGUAAAACCUUGGGCAAGAGCCUGGGCAGAGCGACUGUCGGUACAGAUAUUAAUGGUAGUAGCAAAUAUUCAAAUGAUAACUUUGAAGGCCGAAGAGUGGAAAGGUUCCUUGUGAACAGCACUUGCACAUGGAUUAGUUGAUCCUAAGGGUCAGGGGAACACCGACAGAUAGCACAUUUCACGCGUACUCCAAAAGGGAAUCGGGUUAAAAUUCCUGGAUCGGGACGUGGUGGUUGAAGGCAAUGUUAGGAAGUCGAGAGACGUCGGCGGGAGCCUCGAGAAGAGUUAUCUUUUCUGUUUAGCAGCCUGCUAACCUUGGAAUCAGCUCAGUCGGAGGUAGGGUCCAGUGGUUGAAAGAGCACCACACGUUGCGUGGUGUCCUGUCCACUACUGGUGGCCCUUCAAAAUCCAGAGGACCAAAUGCCGUCCACGCUCGGUCGUACUUAUAACCACAUCAGGUCCAAAAGGGGAACAACCUCUGGUUGAUGGAAUAAUGUAGGUAAGGAAAGUCGGCAAAAUAGAUCCGUAACUUCUGGAAAAGGAUUGGCACUGAGGGCUGGACAUGGGGGUCCUAGUCCCGAACUCGUUGGCUGUCGGUGGACUACUCGAGCUGCUCCCGCAGCGAGAGCGGGUCGCCGCAUGCCGGUCAGGGGAUAUACUGGGAAUGGUUCCUUCGGGGGCCUUUCCCGCGCGUCGAAUAGCCAACUCAGAACUGGUAUGGACAAGGGGAAUCCGACUAUUCAAGUAAAACAAAGCAUUGUGAUGGUCCCAACAGAUAUUUACGCAUUAUGAUUUUUUCCUAGUGCUCUGAAUGUCAAAGUGAAGAAAUUCAACCAAGAGCGGGUAAACAGCAGGAGUAACUAUGACUCUCUUAAGGUAGCCAAAUGCCUCGCCAUCUAAUUAGUGAUGCACAUGAAUGGAUUAAUAAGAUUCCCACUAUCCUUGUCUACUAUCCAGCGAAACCACAGCUAAGGGAACGGGCUUGGCAGAAUCAGCAGGAAAAGAAGACCCUCUUGAGCUUGACUCUACUCAGACUUUGUGAAAUGACUUGAGAAGUGUAGUAUAAGUGGGAACCGAAAGGCGAAAAUGAAAUACUACUACUUUUAACAUUAUUUUACUUAUUUUGUGAAUCAAAAGUGAGGCACUACCCAUAUUUUUGGACCCAAGGCUCGCUCUGCGGGUCGAUCCAGGCAGAAGACAUUGUCAGGUGGGGAGUUUGGCUGGGGUGGCACAUCUAUUAAAAGAUAAUGCAGGUGUCCUAAGAUGAUCUCAACGAGAAUAGAAAUAUCGUAUGGAACAGAAAGGUUAAAGAUCUUUUGAUUCCGAUUUGUAGUACGAAUACGAACCAUGAAAGCGUGGCCUAACGAUCCUUUAGACCUUUGGAAUUUGAAGCUAGAGGUGUCUGAAAAGUGAUACCACAGGGAUAACUGGCCUGUUGCAACCAAGCAUUCAUAGCAUCGUUACUUUUUCAUCCUUCGAUGUCGGCUCUCCUAUCAUUCUGAAGUAGAAUUCACCAAGUGUUGGACUGUACACCCACCAAUAGGGAACGUGAGUUGGGUUUAGACCGUUGUGAGAUAGGUUAGGUUUACCCUACUUAUGAUAGUGUCGCAGUAGUAAUUCAACCUAGUACGAGAGAAAAUAUUGAUUCACAUAUUUUUUCAUCGCGCUUGGUUGAAAAACCAGUGGUGCAAAGCUACCGUGUACUGGAUUAUGACUGAACGCCUUUAAGUUAGAAUCCAGGCUAGAAGAGACACAUGCGCCCACUGUCCGCUUGACAAACCAUAGUAGGGGCCUCGGCUCCCAAGGGCACAUAUCGUUUACUAAGCCACUACGGUGGAAGAGUCACGGUGGCCGCCUUGAAGUAUAAUUUCCAUCAAGCGGCGGGUAGAAUCCUUUGCAGAUAACUUAAAUAUGCGAUGGGGUAUUUUAAGUCGAAGACGGGUCUUGAUUCCACGAUCCACUGAGAUUCAUCCCUUUGUCACUCUGGUUCGU
rnacentral:rRNA from 1 species